rnacentral:rRNA from 1 species
GACGAACGCUGGCGGCGUGCUUAACACAUGCAAGUCGUACGGUAAGGCCCUUUCGGGGGUCCACGAGUGGCGAACGGGUGCGUAACACGUGAGUAACCUGCCCACAACUUUGGGAUAACGCUAGGAAACUGGUGCUAAUACUGGAUAUGUGCUCCUGCUGCAUGGUGGGGGUUGGAAAGCUCCGGCGGUUGUGGAUGGACUCGCGGCCUAUCAGCUUGUUGGUGGGGUAGUGGCCUACCAAGGCGGCGACGGGUAGCCGGCCUGAGAGGGUGACCGGCCACAUUGGGACUGAGAGACGGCGCAGACUCCUACGGGAGGCAGCAGUGGGGAAUAUUGCACAAUGGGCGCAAGCCUGAGGCAGCAACGCCGCGUGCGGGAUGACGGCCUUCGGGUUGUAAACCGCUUUCAGCAGGGACGAAGCUUUUUGUGACGGUACCUGCAGAAGAAGCACCGGCUAACUACGUG